ACUCAUCGCCGCUUUCAUUCUUCUGAAUCCAUCUCUGUGUUUUCUUCACUCAACUUAACCCUAAUAGACAACUUCAUCACCGUUAUGAGAUUACUUAGAUGAUGUUCUUCCUUCAGCGAUUCGUCAAUGUUCAUCACAUUUCUUCAUUCUGUCGCAGUUCUUCAAUUGGUAACACAGCUAUGUCAAUCGAAUAUCUCUAAAUCUAAUUGUAUUACUUUACCCGUUCUGAUUCAAGAAGAUGAUCAAGUUCUGGUCGCAAACCCUAACAAUCUUUCCUAAUUGUCGCCACUUCAAAUCUGUUGUUAUUGCUGCAUGAUCAUACAUGUUAGUGGUCUGGAACGUCGCUAAUCGAAAUCCAUGGAGAUGAACAAAUAGACAAAAACCAAUUCUAUAGCUUGGAAUCCAACGGAGCCCAUGAACUUCAACACUGCAAAUGAAAAUUUUAACUGUUACAGCUAUGAUGCAAGAAAAUUGGGAGAAGCCAAGUGCAUACACAAAAAUGAAAUAUAAUUCAUAGAAAAAUAACAAUAACUAUUCAUGUCUACCUGAACAAUUUGAUUAUGCAUAACAUGCAUAAUAAACUGAUUAUAUCAUUGACUUACAUGGAUGACAGUGGUGACCCGCAUAGAACAAAGGUGCUCCUGAACUGGUAAGUGCAAUCUUUUAUGUUAAAUUUGAAUAGAUUGACUUGACCCUUUGUUGAUGCAAGGAAAGUUAACGCGAUGAUUGAUGAAUUUGUGGAAUGUGGAUUGCAUUUUUUGGCUAUUGCAAAACAGGAACGUAUGAUAGUUCUGAGACCAGGUGAUCCAUGGUAGUUUGUUGGAUUGUUGUACUUUUAGACCCACCCAGGCAUGACAGUGCUAAAAGCACUGCGAAGCUCUCAAUCUUGUGAAGAUGAUUACUGGUGAUCAACUUGCUAUAGUUGUAGACGGCUUGGUAUGGGAAUGAACAUGUACCCUUCUUAUUCACUGCAUAUGGGGAAGCAGCCACAUCUCGGACGGCUAUUGGCUCUGGAUUAAUGGCCCAAGGAAUACCAAAUGAUGUCACGUGUAUAGUACCUUUUCAUUCAAAUUAUAUGGAAUGGGGGUGAUGGUUUUUAGUAAUGAUUUAGAGUUAAACAAGGCCUUAGUUUGUGAUGAUGUGCUGGAAAAAAUGGUAAGAACAACCGGCUGAAAAUUUUAGACCGACUGAAGUUGACGUCAAAGCCGCUAGAAGGCAAAGGUGGCGGUGGGAAAGGUGGUCUUGCCUAAGGUCAGGGCUUGAUAUCCGAGCUGGAACCGCCGAGUCCGAUGAGAUGCUUGAUCGGUUCUUUAAAGUGACUUUUCCAAUAACAAUCUUUGUGGAUGGUCCAUUCACAACGCUGGUGGCGGUAGAGACGUAGUUGGCGACAACUAGAUUAGUGUUUCAGGCGCAAAAAGGUUGUCCAUCGACCAGUAAAUAGCAAAACUUUUGGAGUUCUUUCUUAUUCAUGAAAGGUUGUUGAUCAUCACUAUCAAAUGGACUUGUCAACAGUUCCUUCACAGCUGGAUGCAUGGUCAAACCUGGGAAGUGCAUACAUGAGGAAAGGAAGACUUGCCGAAGCUGCUCAAUGUUGUCGGCAGGCUCUUUCACUAAACCCUCAUUUGGCAGACACACAGUUGCUUGAAGCUUCCGUUAGGUUUCUUCUAUUCAUAUGCUUCUGUAGGUUGAUGCUCACAACAACCUUGGAAACUUGAUGAAAGCUCAAGGACUGGUGCAAGAAGUCUAUUCUUCAGAGCUUCUAGAGGACUGAUCAUUUUGUGCAUAGCCGAGUUAUAGGUUGUAGUGUUUGGCUAUUCACUGCAUCAGUUUGUAUGUGAACAUAAAGAUUGUUGUGUUUGUCUGUUCACUGCAUCUCUUUGUAUUAAACAUAAAGACCAACCGAAAUUUUGUAAUCAUCAUUACGAUGAGUACCUUUGUUUGAACAGGCAUACAAGUGCUACCUGGAGGCACUCUGUAUACAACCGACUUUUGCCAUUUCCUAUUCUAAUCUUGCUGGCCUUUUCAUGGAGUCUGGCGAUCUUAGUAGGGUACAUCAGUAUUACAAGGGAAUCUAGCCAGCGUAUAUGACGAGCAAGGUAACUUGGACAUAGCGACGGUUAAUUUCAACGGCGAGACAUAUGAGAGCCCUAACUACUGCACGACGUUGAGACAGGCGGAGCAUUCGGCGGCGGAGGU